rnacentral:lncRNA from 1 species
CUAAACGGUAUAUUUUUUACAAAAAAUUUCUAUAGAAAAGUUGUUUAAAAAAUUAUAUUAUUCUAUUUUAUAUUUUUAAUAAUUAAUUGAUCAUGUACUAAUCUAUUAGUACGUUUUUCGCUCUAGAUAACUGACCCCCUCCCCCCUACUAUCGAACACGGCCUAGGUCUCAACCCCUCAUCUAUUAAGUACAUCACCAACUAGGAGUAGGACUACUUAUCCUGUUAGGAGUAGUACUUCUUGUCCUAGUAGUACUCAUUUCCUUAAUUCAAAACUAAAUUUACCUAAUUAAAUUCUUUUUUUCUAAAUUCCACUACCCAAAUCAUAUUUUUUCUCAA